UACGUAGGUGGCAAGCGUUGUCCGGAAUUAUUGGGCGUAAAGCGCGCGCAGGCGGUUUCUUAAGUCUGAUGUGAAAGCCCCCGGCUCAACCGGGGAGGGUCAUUGGAAACUGGGAAACUUGGGUGCAGAAGAGAAGAGCGGAAUUCCACGUGUAGCGGUGAAAUGCGUAGAGAUGUGGAGGAACACCAGUGGCGAAGGCGGCUCUUUGGUCUGUAACUGACGCUGAGGCGCGAAAGCGUGGGGAGCAAACAGG
rnacentral:rRNA from 1 species